GCGGGCAUGGCGGAAUGGUAGACGCAAGGGACUUAAACUCCCUCGAACUUAGUUCGUGCGGGUUCGACUCCCGCUGCCCGCA
rnacentral:tRNA from 1 species